rnacentral:rRNA from 1 species
CUCUCGGCAACGGAUAUCUCGGCUCUCGCAUCGAUGAAGAACGUAGCGAAAUGCGAUACUUGGUGUGAAUUGCAGAAUCCCGUGAACCAUCGAGUUUUUGAACGCAAGUUGCGCCCRAAGCCUUUUGGUCAGGGCACGUCUGCCUGGGCGUCACG